UACGGGGGGGGUAAGCGUUGUUCGGAAUUACUGGGCGUAAAGGGCUCGUAGGCGGCCAACUAAGUCGGACGUGAAAUCCCUCAGCUUAACUGGGGAACUGCGUCCGAUACUGGAUGGCUUGGAUUUGGGAGAGGGAUGCGGAAUUCCAGGUGUAGCGGUGAAAUGCGUAGAUAUCUGGAGGAACACCGAUGGCGAAGGCAGCCCCCUGGGCCGACAUUGACGCUCAGGCACGAAAGCGUGGGGAGCAAACAGG
rnacentral:rRNA from 1 species